rnacentral:rRNA from 1 species
AGCAGCCGCGGUAAUUCCAGCUCCAAUAGCGUAUAUUAAAGUUGUUGCAGUUAAAAAGCUCGUAGUUGAAUUUCGGGGUUCUACCGUCGGUCGGGCUACCAAGUCUGUACUGGUGUGUAGAAUUUCUACCUUCUGGGGAACCAUCAUGUUAUUAAUUUAGCGUGGUGGGAAACCAGGACCUUUACCUUGAAAAAAUUAGAGUGUUCAAAGCAGGCUUUUGUCUGAAUACAUUAGCAUGGAAUAAUAGAAUAGGACGGUGGUCCUGCUUUGUUGGUUUCUGAAUCACCGUAAUGAUUAAUAGGGAUAGUUGGGGCAUUAGUAUUCAAUUGUCAGAGGUGAAAUUCUUGGAUUUAUUGAAGACUAACUUCUGCGAAAGCAUUUGCCAAGGAUGUUUUCAUUAAUCAAGAACGAAAGUUAGGGGAUCGAAGACGAUCAGAUACCGUCGUAGUC